UACGUAGGGUGCGAGCGUUAAUCGGAAUUACUGGGCGUAAAGCGUGUGCAGGCGGUCUGUUAAGACAGGUGUGAAAUCCCCAGGCUUAACCUGGGAACUGCGUCGGAUACUGGAUGGCUUGAAUUCGGGAGAGGGAUGCAGAAUUCCAGGUGUAGCGGUGAAAUGCGUAGAUAUCUGGAGGAAUACCGGUGGCGAAGGCGGGUCUCUGGGCCGAUACUGACGCUGAGGAGCGAAAGCGUGGGGAGCGAACAGG
rnacentral:rRNA from 1 species